UGGGGGAUAUUGCACAAUGGGGGAAACCCUGAUGCAGCGACGCCGCGUGUGGGAAGACGGUCCUCUGGAUUGUAAACCACUGUCCCCAGGGACGAAGAUGACGGUACCUGGGGAGGAAGCUCCGGCUAACUACGUGCCAGCAGCCGCGGUAAUACGUAGGGAGCGAGCGUUGUCCGGAAUUACUGGGUGUAAAGGGAGCGUAGGCGGGACUGCAAGUUGGGUGUCAAAUCUACCGGCUCAACCGGUAGUCGCACUCAAAACUGCAGUUCUUGAGUGAAGUAGAGGCAGGCGGAAUUCCUAGUG
rnacentral:rRNA from 1 species